rnacentral:snoRNA from 1 species
UAUUUCUUUGAAAUUAAACUGCACCAAUAUGAUGGAGUUAAAUUCCUUUGAUUCCCAAGUAUUUAAGUCUCUGAUGAUA